ACCCGUUGAUCCUGCGGGAGAUUGCUGCUAUCGGGAUUCGACUAAGCCAUGCAAGUCUUCUAGCAAUAGAGGCGAAAGGCUCAGUAACACGUCGUUAAUCUGCCCUUGAGUCAGGGAUAACCUUGGAAAACUAAGGCUAAACCCUGAUAGGAAAUGAGUUCUGGAAUGAACCUUUUCUCAAACUCGUGCUCAAGGAUGAGACGGCGGCUGAUUAGGCUGUUGGUGGGGUAAUGGCCCACCAAAACCGAAGAUCAGUAUGGGCCAUGAAAGUGGUAGCCCAGAGAGGGACACUGAGAUACUGGUCCCAGCCCUACGGGGUGCAGCAGGCGCGAAACCUUUACAAUGCACGCAAGUGUGAUAAGGGAAUCCCGAGUGCUCAUGCUUAGCAUGGGCUUUUGCUAAGAGUAAGAACCUUGGCGAAUAAGUGGUGGGCAAGACUGGUGCCAGCCGCCGCGGUAACACCAGCGCCACGAGUGGCAAUCACGAUUAUUGGGCCUAAAGCGUCCGUAGCCGGUUCGGUAAAUCCUUUGUGAAAUCGCCAGGCUUAACCUGGCGGCGUGCAGGGGACACUGCCGAACUCGAGACCGGGAGGAGUUAGAAGUAUUUCUGGGGGAGCGGUAAAAUGCUAUAAUCCCAGAAGGACUACCUAUGGCGAAGGCAUCUAACUAGAACGGAUCUGACGGUGAGGGACGAAAGCCAGGGGAGCGAACCGGAUUAGAUACCCGAGUAGUCCUGGCCGUAAACGCUGCGAGUUAGGUGUUGCAUAUUCUACAUGAAUGUGCAGUGUCGAAACGAAGGUGAUAAGCUCGCCGCCUGGGAAGUACGGUCGCAAGACUGAAACUUUAAGGAAUUGGCGGGGGAGCACUACAAGGGGUGCGGCGUGCGGUUUAAUCUAACUCAACGCAGAGAACCUCACUAGAGGCGACGGCAGAAUGAAGGUCAUGCCGAAGACAUUGCCUGACGAGCCGAGAGGUGGUGCAUGGCCGUCGUCAGCUCGUGCUGUAAAGUGUCCAGUUAAGUCUGGCAACGAGCGAGACCUGUAUCCACAAUUGCUAACGAACUUUGUGAUCGAGCACAUUGUGGGGACUGCCCUGGAAACAGGGAGGAAGGUGCAGGCAACGGUUGGUCUGUAUGCCCCGAAUCCUCUAGGCUACACGCGCGCAACAAUGGUAGGGACAAUGGGAUACGACCCCGAGAGGGGAAGUUAAACCUCUAAACCCUAUCUUAGUCCAGAUCGAGGCUUGCAACUCAGCCUCGUGACGACGGAAUCCCUAGUAAUUGGGCCUCAUCAUAGCCCAGUGAAUAUGUCCCUGCUCCUUGCACACACCGCCCGUCAAGCCAACCGAGCAGGGUUUGGGUAAAACUUAUCUUUCUUGGAUAUGUUGAAUCUAAGCUCAGUGAGGUGGGCUAAGUCGUCACAAGGUA
rnacentral:rRNA from 1 species